GCCAGAGUGGUGCAGUGUUUUGAGCAUUGGACUAUGGCUCUGAAGACCAGGGUUCAAAUCCAAACUCAGCCA